AAGUUAACAGAAAGCUCACAUUAGAGGUGGACAGUUUUUUUUUUUUUUUUGUCGUCAAACUUUUUUUCGGGGAUGGUGGAACUAAACAUUCUUCAACGAAGAAAAAUUUCCUUUUUAAUGUCAUCUUUAGGCCAUUUUCAUUAAAACCACAGGUAGAAGUGCAAAACCCUACUACUCAGUUUAGACUUCACAGUUAAAAGUGGAACGCCAGCUUAAUCUGAAUUAAUACCCAUGCGAGAGAGACUUGGAGCAGCAACCCAUUUUGAUGGAAAAAGUUUGGACUGGGAAAGAAAAGAAAUGAAUGUUUGGAAGUAAUCAUCGAAGAAGAAUGCCCACAUUAUGGAGUACAGGGAGCAACAUCUUCCCGAAGAAACUCUUACUCAACUAGGAUCACUUGUUUUUGUGUUUCAAUAAAGGAUAUUCCAUUUUUAA